AGUGAACGCUGGCGGUAGGCCUAACACAUGCAAGUCGAACGGCAGCACAGAGGAGCUUGCUCCUUGGGUGGCGAGUGGCGGACGGGUGAGGAAUACAUCGGAAUCUACUCUGUCGUGGGGGAUAACGUAGGGAAACUUACGCUAAUACCGCAUACGACCUACGGGUGAAAGCAGUGGAUCUUCGGACCUUGCGCGAUUGAAUGAGCCGAUGUCGGAUUAGCUAGUUGGCGGGGUAAAGGACCACCAAGGCGACGAUCCGUAGCUGGCCUGAGGGGGUGAUCGGCCACACUGUAGCUGAGAGACGGUCCAGACUCCUACGGUAGGCAGAGAGGGGGAAUAUUGGACAUUGGUGGCAAGCAUAAUCCAGCAAUACCGGGUGGGUGAAGAAGGACUUCGGGUUGUAAAGCCCUUUUGUUGGGAGAGAAAUCCAUCUGGUUAAUACCCGGGGGGGAUGACGGUACCCAAAGAAUAAGCACCGGCUAACUUCGUGCCAGCCGCCGCCGUAA
rnacentral:rRNA from 1 species